CAGGGAAUCGUACGCAAUGGACGAAAGUCUGACGUCGCAAUGCCGCGUGGGGGAUGAAGGCCUUCGGGUCGUAAACUCCUUUUAUAGUAAUAGAGAUGUUAUUAAGAAUAAGUGACUGCUAACUCUGUGCCAGCAGCCGCGGUAAUACAGAGGUCACAAGCGUUAUCCGGAUUUAUUGGGCGUAAAGCGUCUCGUAGGCGGUUUGGUAAGUUAUUCUUCAAAGACCACGGCUCAACCGCGGGAAGGGGAGUAAUACUACCAGACUUGGUUAUUGGUGGGGUAUCUGGAACUGAUGGUGUAGUAGUGAAAUACGUUGAUAUCAUCAGGAACUCCAAGGGCGAAGGCAGGAUACUAACCAAUUAACGACGCUGAGGAACGACAGCUAGGGGAGCGAAAGGGA
rnacentral:rRNA from 1 species